rnacentral:siRNA from 1 species
UUACCGAUGCAUAAUGAUUCUAUU